rnacentral:rRNA from 1 species
GAUGAACGCUGGCGGCGUGCCUAAUACAUGCAAGUCGAGCGAAUGGAUUGAGAGCUUGCUCUUAUGAAGUUAGCGGCGGACGGGUGAGUAACACGUGGGUAACCUGCCCAUAAGACUGGGAUAACUCCGGGAAACCGGGGCUAAUACCGGAUAACAUUUUGAACCGCAUGGUUCGAAAUUGAAAGGCGGCUUCGGCUGUCACUUAUGGAUGGACCCGCGUCGCAUUAGCUAGUUGGUGAGGUAACGGCACACCAAGGCAACGAUGCGUAGCCGACCUGAGAGGGUGAUCGGCCACACUGGGACUGAGACACGGGCCAGACUCCUACGGGAGGCAGCAGUAGGGAAUCUUCCGCAAUGGACGAAAGUCUGACGGAGCAACGCCGCGUGAGUGAUGAAGGCUUUCGGGUCGUAAAACUCUGUUGUUAGGGAAGAACAAGUGCUAGUUGAAUAAGCUGGCACCUUGACGGUACCUAACCAGAAAGCCACGGCUAACUACGUGCCAGCCGCCGCGGUAA